UAUCUAGUUCUUCAAUUAAUG
rnacentral:piRNA from 1 species